CUUUUCUGGUGGUGGGAGAAGCAGCAGUUGCUGAAGUUCUCUCUCCUGGCUCCUGCAGGAGGAGGAACUCAAAACCAGGUUGCAAUUUCUACAGAAAUCUUUAACGUUCGAAUCAGCUCAGCCGGCUGUCAACAUUGUAACAACAACAACCCAGGGUUUCCCACCUAAAUUAACUGACAUAGACCUGAGUGAAAACUAUAUAGUGGUACCUCGGGUUAAGAACUUAAUUCGUUCUGGAGGACCGUUCUUAACCUGAAACUGUUCUUAACCUGAGGUACCACUUUAGCUAAUGGGGCCUCCCACUGCCACCAUGUGAUUUCUGUUCUCAUCCUGAAGCAAAGUUCUUAACCCAAGGUACUAUUUCUGGGUUAGCGGAGUCUGUAACCUGAGGCGUCUGUAACCCGAGGUACCACUGCACAUAACAGAAAUGUAUCACUUUGGGGUGCCUCAUGGGAAGUGACGCAUAAACCAAAUCAAUAACUAUAUGACCACUGGAGGAAAUAUCCCUAUGAAUGCCAGCAACUGGCAUUCAGAAGUAGCGAGAGAUGCUGUUGCACCCGGGUCCUGCUUGUAGGCUUCCCUUGGGGCUUCUGGUUGGCCACUGUGAAAACAGGAUGCUGGACUUGGUAGGUCUUUCCCCUUCUCCAGUAGGACGACUUCUUAUGUUCUUAAACUUGAGGGAAUUGUAGAGCAGGCUGGGCUUGCAAGGGGGUUGAGUCUUGCAAACUGUUGCCUGAUGAGAGGGUCGAAAGUGCAGUUUAGCAUUUCUUACACUCUGCAUAUGCUCUCAUUAGGAUUCUAUAGCUGGAAUUUCUACAGUGCUGGGGGUUGGACUAGAUGAUCCUUUCAAGUCUACAGUUCUAUGAUUCUAUCUUUUAAAAAGCCCCACAAAAAUAAUCUGGGGAGAAAGAAGGACUUCUUAGAGCAGAAUCCUAUUGUGUGAAUACUUUGAAGCAAGCAUCACUUUGCUCCAUGGGGUUUACUCCCAGGUAAUUGUGCAGAGGACCCGUACUCUUAAGAUGGCUGAGAUCUGUAGUGAAAAUACUAAUGCCCUCUGUUAACACUUCAAGGUUUUCCAUCUUUUUUCCUUCUUCCUACAGACAAGGGGUUUCUUGAAAUGAUGCACUGAAUGGUCUCCCUCUUCUCUCCCUUCCCCAUCACAAUCCACCCCUUCCUCCCCUCCCCUCGCUUUCUGCUUCUGGUUUCUGUUCAGCCCGAAAGAAGAGGAAGUUUAAAUUAGGAUGCUGAAAUCCUGGGCUGUAAUUUCUACGGCUUUACAUUAACAUAUAGCAACUUGCUCCAGGUACUGUAACAAAGUCAAUGUUCAGCAAGUCUGUCUCAGAUUACCCAGGCUGAUAAGAGAUCUACUGACUAUAGAGCAAAGGAAGUCUGCUUUCUCCUGUUCUCCCAGUUUAAAAUUGGAUGCUGGUCUAGAGGGCAGGCUGAGACUGUGAGAAAGCAUUUGGAGCCACUGAAAUGGGAAGUGAUGGACGUAUUUUCGUUUAAAACGAAAACUGGUCGUAUUGCAUUGAACAAGCGCACCACUAAUUUUACAGGCUAAGGCAAGAAUAACCAACACAAUGCCCUCCAGUUGUUUCUGGACUGCAGCUCCCAUCAGUCCUAGCAGCAUGGACAAUGGUCAGAGGAUGAUGGGAGUUGUAGUACAGCAACACGUGGAAGCCACUGCAUGGGUUAGUCUUGGGCUAAGAGCCGUGAGGAGCAAGUUCAAGCCACAGAAGAUUUGUAGCAGUUUCAAAGCUUCCAGUGGUUUGUGGCCAGAGUUAGCCCUACUCAGAGUAGACCCAUUGGAAUUGAUGGUCAUGGCUAACUCAGAGCCAAUCAUUUCAAUGGGCCUCCUCUGUGUAGCGCUUAGCUGCAGACAAGCUGCCGCUUCUAGAGCCCUGCUGGCUUAGCCAAACAAGUGCAAAAGUGUUCCUCAUAGACCUGAAGCUGGUUCAUGCACUCCUUCAUCACAUGAUAGCUUCAAUGUCAAGUGAUGGCUUUUAUUUAAUUCUAUGUGUUGGAAUAUAUACACCCCAACAAAAAAACAGUAUUUAGAAAACACAGUGCAAAUUUCACAUUUGAUACCGUUGCAGCUGAUGAUGGUAAUCAUUGCCAUAGCAAUAGAUUCUGCAUUUUUAAGUAACACAACUAAGCAACAAUCGAUAUUUCCAGACAAUAUCUCUAGGUACACAAAUAAGUAAAAUAGAUAAUAAUAAUAAAAUUAUAGACAGAACAUCAACAUGUAAAAUAAUUACAGCAUAUAGCUAGAAAAUCUAAUAAAUAUUACCCAACUAUUGCUACUAUUACUACUACUACUAAAAAUAAUACUUGAAUUUUUAUCCUUCCCUUCCUUCCCAAGGAGCCCAGAGCAGCAACCAGAUACAUAAUUUUAAAAUGAAGGCAGAGAAAAAAACAAUCUGAAAGAAUUAAAGCAUUCUAAAAACUGUUACAAUUUUUUUAAAAAAAACCUUUGUCCAUCCAGUGAUCUCAGGGAUGUCAGAAACAGUAUUCUCCAGCCAUCAAGUGCCUGGGUAAACAGGAAUGUUUUCAAAUCCCUCCUGAAAGUUAUGAAUGAUGGAGACAGGCAUGCCUCAUGGGCAGGGCAUCCCACAACUGGGGAACCACCACAGAAAAGGCCCUUACGUGUAAUACAAUCAUUAAAAUUUUAUCAGUGUGGUUUUAAAAUUCUUUUCUGAUAUGUGUUUGAUUCAGCUCUGUGGUGAAGGAGCCAAAUGUAAGACCACAAAUGCAAUAUUCAUCUCCCCUUAAAUGCAUACUAUUCAGUCAGCAAUUCACACAUUGGCUUGGUUUCAUGCAGUUUCAUGUGGGCCUCUGGGUGUUGCUGAAUUACACCCACCACCAUCCCCAGCCAUUGUUUGUGCUGACUGGGGUUGGUGGGAGCAGGAUUUCAAGAACAUCUAAGGGGCCAUGGGUUCCCUAUCUUCAGUUUAGUGGAAUGUGAAUUCAACACUCCCUUCUGCCUUUGCCUGGCAGACCCACAAUGAAAGCUUCCACUUCCUAGUUUAAACUAACCACAGUUUGCUGUUAUUUCCAAAUCAGAAACCAUGGCUAGUUUAAACUCUUUUUGAAACAUUGGAAAGCACAGCUUCCAUCUUGGCUUGUUUUAAUAAACCAUACUUUAAUCAGUUUUCAGUUUGAACGUAACAACAAACUGUGGUUAGGAUUACAGUGGGAAGAGCAUGCUAGAAAGCUCCUCUACAUAGUUUUGUGGAGGGAGGAAGAGGAGAAGAGAGAAGGAAGUGUUUAAACUUGAGGCCUGUUGAUUCUUGUUCCCAUUGUGCUAAACUACAGGCCGUUGAGUUGCUAGUCUUCAAGGUCAUUGUGGAAUAGUAGAUUAAGUAAACAAAUUAACCCCUGGAGAAGGCAUUUGGGAUGACAUUGCUAGCUCAACCCUUGACCUUUGCAGCUGGUCAAUAGCUUUUUUCCAGCGCAAAGGGUCCAGAGUUAGUUUCUUGGGGAGAAGCCACACCACUGCCUCUCUCAAGGUAGCAGGCAGCAUUAACCACAUGUUAGACCCAACCAAUCAAACCGCACUCUACUAGAUUUAAUAAGACAGGGGGGACAAGAGUCAAGAGGGCAUAUAGUCACUGUAUAGCUGCAAGCACCUUGUCCACAUCAGCUGACUACAUCAGCUGAAACUGAUCCCACAACACACCACCAACUCUGGCAUUGGAUACAUCACCUGGAACUACAAUAACUGAAGAGUCAAGGUCACUCCAAAGUCAAGUGACUUUAUCCUCAAAAUGUGUGGGUGGGUGGUUGCAGCAAGUUCCUCCCCUUCAGUUGGAGUCAGUAACUUCCGGACUGUCUGAAAUAACACAGCUGGCCAGCUACUAGAGGAGGCAAUGCAAGCUGUGGAAUGGGCCUUCUUUGUAGCCUGCACUGCCACAUGGAAGGCAUGAUUAGGUGCACUAACCAGUUGUCUGAGCAGAACUUGCACCACUUGCGGUCUAGUCUUCAUCCGGCUUGCUAUGUAGACCAAAGCUUCCCAGAAUACCAAGGACCCACUUGGGCCAAAGAGGACACUUGGGAGCAAUUGUUUCAACAACCCCUUUCAUAUUGUCAUUCCAUAGCGAAACCAGGGCUUUGACAGGAUUCUCCACUGGAAAAUCCCCCCUACCAUUCAGGAACCCUAUCACCCUCUGGUGUGGUCCUUCCAUAUGGGCCCAUCAGCUUUAGAGGAGCAAAUUGUCCAUCCCUCAUAUUGCUUGGUUUAAGGCUGCAUCAAGGCUGUACCCUUUCCCGAUGCAUUGGACUGAUGACCGUUUGAGACAGCCCCAUGGUUGUCAUGGUGGCCAUGAAAAAUGCAGAGAAGAAGGAAGGAAGGAAGGAAGGAAGGAAGGAAUGUCCCAGUGCCAGCACAGAGGCAGCCUCCAUGUGGAUACUGAAGUCUUCUAACACAAAACCAGAGAUCACCUUGGCAAGUUUGGUCAGAGAUGGUACUAGGCUACAGGGUCCCCUGCAUUCCCCUCAGCCCAUCAAAACUCGGUAUUUUGUGCCCCACUGAUGUCUUUAAGCUAUUCCCACCCUAGCUUUUUUUCUAAAGUUAUUUAACACCUAGGCAAACCUUAGAGUCCUCACCACCCCACCACAGGAGACACGUUUUCAGCUCAGCCUAUGUAAAUAGGAGUCUUUGUGUUGGUUUAAUUUUUUGAAUGCUUUAGAUUAUUGUUCUUAAUUGUUUUUGCCAAUCAUUUUAUUGUUUUACCUUUUUUUGUAAAUUGCUUUGAGGGCUUUUCCCCCCACAAUCAAGCAGUGUAUACAUUUUAUGAAAUAAUAAUAAGGGAGAAAUGAUCAGAACCAUAAAUAAGAAUGAACAUUUCAAUAACAAGGUUGAUGAAUUUGAUUGCUGUUGUAGUUCUUAAACUAUUUUUUGUUUUCUUCCCUAUAAACUGGCCUAAAACAGGUGAAUAGGUGCAAAGGUGAGUGGAGGCCCUGAGGCUGAAGUGACAUUUUAGAAAAGGAUGGAUAUGCUUUGCUUCGAACAGUUCUUUUUGAGACCGGUCCAAGGAGCCCCUUAGCUUUUUUCUUCUUGCUCUAAGCCACCCAUUCAAUGCAGAUUUCUGGCUGCAGAAAAAGUAGCCAAGAUCCCCUCCAUCACACUUUCCUCUCAUUAAUUCUGCUUUUUCCAGCUCAAACAGGCUUCCUAUGUUUGUUUGGAACUUUUAAGAACUACAUAAAGAAUGCUGGCACCCUCUAAUGGCUUAUCAUGAAAUGGCAGGGGGGGAUGAUUUUGCAUCUACAGUUUGGCCAGCUAAAAAACCAGUGUUUCCCCCAAAGGCCAACGGUCAGAAGUAAGCAUGGUGGAGAAACUUGAUUCAGUUCACUUUCUGAAACAAUGUGCAAAGCGAAACACAGCUGCCCUUUGAAAUUUGCAGACAAAUGCAUAUGUUAAUGAAAAUAACAUACAAACAUAGAAUCAUGGAAUCAUGGAACUGUGGAACUGGAAUGAACAAAGGUCACCUAGCGCAGGAACCUCAGCUAGAGUCCCUGACAGAUGGCUACCCAACCUCUGUUUGAAAACCUCCAAUGCAUUCUGUUAGGCAAGAUUACAUAUAAAUCUCACUAAAUUUUCACUAAAUUGCUAGUGAAUUUUCAUGAGGACUUAAAAGAAACAACAACCAUGAACCGAUGUGUAAAGUGGAAAGCUGAACUUCAGAUUGGGAAAAUCAGAUUGCAUUCUAUCCAUUCUAACUUAGCAUAGAUCCAUUGGAAUCAAUGAACCCAAGUUAGUCAUUCCAUUAAUUUCAAUGGAUCUACUCUGAGUCAGACUAGCAUUGUAUGCAACUCAAUAUCUUUGUUUUAAAAUAUAUAUGUAUUAUGGGUGGGUGGAUUCUCAAUCAAAUCAGAUCCACAGUGAACAGAGAAGGGGAGGUUAACCCUUCCAAAACCACCCUUGCCACAGUCUCAAGAAAAAUCCCCUCUGAACCAGAUGUGUGCCCUAGAACAGUCUCCCUUCUGCAGAAAAUCACUGAAUCAUGGAAACAUAGACUUGCAGAGUUGGAAGGGACGCCAAGGGUCAUCUAGUCCAACCCCUGGCAAUGCAGGAAUCAACUCCAUGGAUUUUCAGCAAGUGAGCCACUUGUGAUGCAAGAGAUCUGACUGCAGAACUCCUGGGUGCAAAGGGAUCCAAUAUCCAUUGCAACAAGAAGGCAAGGGAAAGGAGUGUGUAAGCCAUUUCUCCCUCUGCUGUUUUCUGGAUAUAAAUCUCACCCACCACAGCUUGCUAUCAGCUCUUCAGGAGAGGGGCUUAUAAGCACCUGUCUCAAAUGCUGCCACCACAGCCACCAGCCCAGCCAGGUAAAAAGGAGUGAAAGGAAAGCAGGAGGGGAUUCAGUGGAUGUGAUGGGGUGGGUGAAUGUGAAAUCGUUCAGGGGGUGAUGCCCUUUGGGGUUGGUAGGGCAGAAGGCUGGGAACCCAACAGCAGGUGGAGCCAGAGCCAAUGACAAAGUUGUUCCAACUAAGUUUUGUCCCCAUCUUCUACCUUGCUGAGCUCUACAAGGGCAGCAUGAAGACGAAGGAGGAGGAAUUUUCACAGUCGAUGCUGCCUCCCAUUUGGAGUGGAGGUAAGGAAGAAGGCAGGCAGGUGAGGUUCAGCAGAGGUUGGAUGGAUUUCUGUCAUGGAUGCUUUAGCAUUGAGUGGGGUUGGACUGGAUGACCCUGUUAGAAUAUUCCGUUCCACCUUAAAAGGAACAAGCAUGAUUGUUGUGUGUCACAUGCCUGUUUACACUCCAGCACAGCACAGCUUGCUGGGAUCUUCCGUUGUGUGUAUAGCUUUUGCUUAUUGCUGUUUGCUUGGACACGAAGGGGAGAACACAUGUUUUUCCCUUUGUCCUGAUGCUAAAUAAAAUGCCUGUAAAUAUGUUUUACACAGCCUCUCUCUGCCCUUAUGUUGCUAAGAGUUAUUUUCUCUGCUGGCUUGCGUGUUCAGCUUCUGAAGGUUUUUGAGGCUUGAGUCGCAGUUUACUUGCUGAUCCAAUGAUUGGAGAUCGCCCGGCUGCCGACCGGUGGGCUGGAGCCAGCUGGGGGCCUGCCAAUUGCCCCCGUUCCCUUGGACGCAUCCCAGCAGACCCUGGGGUCCCUUCCAGCUCUAUGAUUCUAUGAGUACUGAGAGGGGGGAAGUGGAAGCUGACAUGCUCAUUACCCAUUUACCUGCAUGGACCAACUUCCACAGGGCUUGAGGGAUGAAAGGGCUACCAAAUUUGGCUGGGUUCUAUGAUAAACCAGACUAUUUUCUGAUUCUGGGUGGGUGGGUGGGUGGUGGGUGAGGGAGGAAUAUAACUUGGCUUGCAGUCAUACAUGGGAAAGUGAUGCCAACAAGUGUCGGGUUGUUUCCUUAAGGCAAAGCUGAGGGACCUGUUGCUGGACUACAGCUUCCACCCUCCCUGACUAUUGACCAUGCUGACUAGGGCUGACAGGCAUUGAAGAACAACAACACCUUAAUCAAUUGAAGAACAACAACACCUUAACCAGUUGAAGAACAGCAACACCUUAUCCAGCAUAGGAUGACAAGAUGUUCUCAAGAAGUACAUGAUGAAGGAGACUAUGAUCUCCUGGUUCUUUGUCUCCAGCAUCUG